AACGAACGCUGGCGGCAGGCCUAACACAUGCAAGUCGAACGAACCUUCGGGUGAGUGGCGCACGGGUGCGUAACACGUGGGAAUAUACACUUCGGUAAGGAAUAACGUAGAGAAAUUUACGCUAAUACCUUAUAAUGACUCCGGUCCAAAGAUUUAUCGCCGAAGGAUUAGCCCGCGCUAGAUUAGUUUGUUGGUGAGGUAAGAGCUCACCAAGACUACGAUCUAUAGCUGGUCUUAGAGGAUGAUCAGCCACACUGGAACUGAGACACGGUCCAGACUCCUACGGGAGGCAGCAGUGAGGAAUAUUGCGCAAUGGAGGAAACUCUGACGCAGCCAUGCCGCGUGAAUGAAGAAGGCCUUAGGGUUGUAAAGUUAUUUCAAUAGUGAAGAUAAUGACGGUAGCUAUAGAAGAAGCUCCGGCUAAAUUCGUG
rnacentral:rRNA from 1 species